GAAGAAAUGUUGUAUUUCCUCAAUAAAUACAUUUUGUGCUGAUCGUCGUAGUGCGUUAAAUUUAAUUUUUCGAUCAUUUUCGAAUUCAUUUUUAUUAUUCAAUUUAAGUCCUGCUUACUUAUUUAUUUUACCUUUUCUUUGAUGUAUUGUCAAAAAUUAGCAUGUUUAAAUGGAUUUAUUUAAUAUCUAGUGUAAAUUUAUUUUAUUUUAUUAACUAAUUCAUUUCUUUUGUAUUAAUAUUCAAAAAUAUAAAAAAAAAAUAACAAAAAUAAAAAAUAAAAAAAUAGAAACUCCAACGUCUCUCUUCCACGCGUCCAUCCAUUACCUCACUCUCUCCCCCACUCAUAACUACCUCACUCUCUCUCUCAAAUCUGAAGAAA
rnacentral:lncRNA from 1 species